rnacentral:rRNA from 1 species
ACAAGGUUUCCGUAGGUGAACCUGCGGAAGGAUCAUUGUCGAAUGCCUGUAUAGAGUGACUUGUGAACAAGUAAAGAUAUGAUUGGGCGUUUGAGAGAUGAGCGCAUGCUUAUGUACUCUUUCGUCUUUGCUGAUGGACAUUUAUAAUGCCUUUGGGUAUUGUAUAUGCCUUAUUGGCACCAAAACAAUCCCCAGCACGGAAUGUGCCAAGGAAAUGAAAUAACUAAAGAAAGAUGUGACUUGUGAUGCUUCAUUUAUGGUGUGUCAUGGGGCCUUUGCACUUUUGAAAUCAAAAAAUGACUCUCGACAACGGAUAUCUUGGCUCAUGCAUCGAUGAAGAACGUAGCAAAAUGCGAUACUUGGUGUGAAUUGCAGAAUCCCGUGAACCAUCAAGUUUUUGAACGCAAGUUGCGCCUGAAGCCAUUUGGUUGAGGGCACGCCUGCCUGGGCGUCACACAUUAUGUCACCCUUCAAAAUAUUUGUCUAAUGGUGAGUGUUUAAUUAAGGGUGGAGAUUGGUUUCCUGUGCUCAUGGCAUGGUUAGCCUAAAUGGAAGUCCUUCAUGAUUGAUACAUGACUAUUGGUGGUUGAAAGACCUUCGUUUGGAGUUAUGUCUCAUACGUCGCAAGGGAAAAAACUUAUUGAAAGCCCUUGACAUGAUGUGUUAUUGGUGUUUCAAAUGCGACCCCAGGCCAGGCGGGAUUACCCGCUGAGUUUAAGCA